AACGAACGCUGGCGGCAGGCUUAACACAUGCAAGUCGAGCGCCCCGCAAGGGGAGCGGCAGACGGGUGAGUAACGCGUGGGAACCUACCCUUUUCUACGGAAUAACGCAUGGAAACGUGUGCUAAUACCGUAUACGCCCUACGGGGGAAAGAUUUAUCGGAGAAGGCAGGGCCCGCGUUGGAUUAGCUAGUUGGUGGGGUAAAGGCCUACCAAGGCGACGAUCCAUAGCUGGUCUGAGAGGAUGAUCAGCCACAUUGGGACUGAGACACGGCCCCAACUCCUACGGGGGGCAGCAGUGGGGAAUAUUGGACAAUGGGCGCAAGCCUGAUCCAGCCAUGCCGCGUGAGUGAUGAAGGCCCUAGGGUUGUAAAGCUCUUUCACCGGAGAAGAUAAUGACGGUAUCCGGAGAAGAAGCCCCGGCUAACUUCGUGCCAGCCGCCGCCGUAAAAC
rnacentral:rRNA from 1 species